AAGACCUAAAAAUAAAGAAAUGACUAAAAUAUUUAAUGGAAAUGUGAAUAUUAUUACUGUAGACCCAGUGGGAGAAAUAGUUCAGAUCAAUAUUACUGUAGACUCAGUUGGAGAAAUAGUUCAGUACUACUAUUUUUAUUUAAUGGACUACAGUUUCACUCGUAGGUGUGAUAAUUUUUGUGAAUACAAAUAUAGCAUAGAUGCUGUUUUAAAAUAUGCAUAAAUUCAGCAUUAUGACUAAGACCCCAAAAAAUGAACUAAGAAAAUCUGAAAAUGCCUUCUUGAGAAAAAGCAAGCAACAGAGAACUUGAUAUUAGUUUACAUACUGAUUAUUAAGUUGACUCAUAAAGCAAACCAAAAAGAAGGGUUAGGGGUUAACUAGUAGAACUUGCUAUUAGUCUGCAUGCAUAUAUGUGAGAAAAAAGCAAAUGACUUCAAAGCUUAAAGAACAAAACAAUGGCCUUUAUUUAUUUUUAUUUUAAAAGAAUCUGUAAGAAAUUGGAGAUAAGAAACCGUUUGAUUUAAAACUUGAAGGACCUAAACUAUACCUCCCUCCAAGAAAAUACCAUGUUGGAAGGAUAUUACAGACUUAUACAGUGUUACAUCAGGUUUUCUCACCUAAAAAGGGUUGUGUAGGUAACCUGAGAUUUUCUUGCAGCUCAAGCAAGAUAAGCAAGGACAUUGAAAAGUGAAGAAAAUGAGAAAAUGAAAAAGAAACCAUCAAAAACUAAGACAAAAAUUGCAUCAACUCAACAUGCCUGGAAGAAAAACAAAAAAAGAAAAAAAGAGUACUUGAACAAACACAAACCACUUAGUGACUCAGUAGCAAAAGAAUAAAAGUCAACGAAAAGAACAAAACUACAAUCUGAAGCACACUUUUUGUUCUCUUUUCUUCCAAAAAGCCAAAGUAUAGUGCAUAUGUUUCAGGACAACAAACAAAGAUCCAAAGCUAGAAAACAAAACAGAAAAGAAAAAGAAAAAAACAGAUAGAAGAAGAAGAAGAGAAGAAAGAGUCAAAACCUGCCAGCUUAGGUAGAGAACGCCAGCUUCCAUGGCCAUUAUUUUUCUUGAUAUAUUCAACAAGAGUCUCAUCUUCUUCAGCAGUCCAUGGCCCUUUCUUCAAGCCCUUCUUGUCACAACAUGGUGUUCUUCCCAUUUCUCUCUGUGUGUCUUCCUUUUAAUCCUCAACCAGGAUCAGAACCAAA